UUCCAGAUAGCUUGUAACUGGGGUGAUAUGAGUACAACUGAUUAAUCUAAUGAAGUCUAAGACCUGCAUGCAGUUACCCUGACCUUUAAUACGUCUUGUGGGUUCUUCUACAACACUUCCUUCUACUCUGUCAGGACUAAAGCUGGUAUGCACAUUUGGCUUGAGUGUCUGCCAGCUCAGUCAACUGCCAACCUUGUGAAGUCUUGCAGCAUGGAGAUUUUGCAUGGACUCCCUUAAUAAAGUCUUUCUAAAUUCCAUACACAACUCUUCUGCUGGUAUCCUGAGCGUGAUGGUGACCUAUUUGAGAUAGUGCUUUUGAAAACAGUUUUGUCCAGAAUACUUCACAGAAAUAAAACAACUUUUAAAAGCAGACACUUCUGGGAAUGAAGACAGGAGUCAGUGUAAUGACAAAAAUCCUACACUGCAGCAAAGAGCAAACCAUCACUGUUAAUAAAGGUGCCACUAGGUGCUUCUGUUAGGAAGAAUCAUGCUCCAAAUCACACACUACAGUGCAUCAGCCAGAGCUUUAUUGAUGAUCAGGAGAUUCAUGCAAAUCCAGGUUUAGACAGACGAAUAAUUCCUCGUGCAGAAUGUCAGAGAAACAGAACAUCUCUGGACAGUUCCUUCACAGCUAAAACACAGCCUGUACAGAGGAAGAGAAACUUCCCUCAUGUUGCUGGAGUCUGUUACUCAUUUCAUCCAGUCCAUCCUUGGCUAGAGGCAGAGUGACCACCCCUGGCUCUUCUAUGACAGUGCCAAGAUGAUUGGAGAGAAUUUGAGUAUCUGAGAUGACAAGGCACAGCUGGGAUGAGAAAGUAGUGAACCAGUUUUCAGGACUGAGUCGUAACGGUUAGAUACAUACCUGCCAACCUCCAUUACACUGGCACCCAGUGAGGAUAAUGGUGCAAAAGAAGCAGAGAGUUUCCAUUGCUAUUCCUAUGAAGAACUUCCAGCUGAUGCCUGGCUGUAACACAGGGAGAGGGGCUGGAGGGCCAGGAGAAAGCCUUGCUGUUCGUUUUUGUGACCACCGGGUGUCAUUCAAGGAGCAGACUUUGGCCAACCUGCGAGCACUACUAUGGCAGCAGCACUGCCAUAAGUUGCAGCGUAUCCAAGUAAAAAAAGUCAGUAUUUGGACCUCUGAAGCCAAGUUGUAGAUUUGCUAUGACUUACUCUACCUUUUCUGCUUUCAAGAUAAAUGCUGAAACCUGGACCUGGGUACACACUUUGAAAAAUACUUGGAUAAUAAGAUUCAUAGUGGAUUGUUUGGUUUUCACAUUUAAGAAAUUAUCCAGGCCAGUAGCUGCUGCAGCGCCCAGCCCACUCUGCCCUGAUGGAUCAGAAUGCAGAGCUCCUGAACUUCACGAAUUCAAGCACACUGU